ACUCGCCACUGCCAGCAGCAGCAAGCAACAGCUGCUGGCGCUGUUUUUACAAACAACAUGACGGACCGUCAGGCGAUUGCAUCAUCCUUGCCAGCCGCGUUGAUGUCCUUGUUUUCGGUGGUUUUUUGACAGAUCAAGUUCCUCAACGGACCCAUAAUUGUGUCAUGCAUGUUUCUAAAGGAGGAGGUCAUUUUCCUGGGCUAAAGAAGAAUUUUCGCCGGAAUGUCUGGAAUGUCCGAGUCCUUUUGCUGAUGACAUGAGCUGUGAUCUGAUUUCGGAAACUCGCAGUUGGACGGUUUGGCUUGGCAACACCUUCAACACGUUUGAUCUUGCAUGAGCAACAAGGGCAUCCUGAGAAGCUGCCAAAAAUGGUUCUACUGCAUCGUUUGCAAAAUGUGAAUAGCAGAGGCAGGAAGAGCAAGGAAAUGAAAAACAACUCAAUUCACCAGUCACUGAAGUCCUUAAUGUUUUAAGCCGCCAGUAUUUUUUAUGUUAAGUACUAUUUUAAUGGGGUUUGCGGAGCCAAAACAGCUGCUGCACGAUACGAUAACGUCAUAAUUUAAUUAUAAAUAUACUAUUGUGCCUAAAAUGAAAUUAGCAGCUCUAUAUUGAAAAAUUUUAUCCACCAUGUAUGUCAUUGUAAAAAAGAAACACAUGAACUACUAUCAUGGGAAUUUUUAACAAAUAAUUAUGUAUUUAUAAUUAAUGUAAUUGCUAUUAAAUAGCUUUUUUAGCGGGUGCCAUUAAUUAAAAAAUUUAUUCAUGUGUAUUGUAACGCUCGUCUUUGGGGUUAAUUGCUUUGAUUUACUUUUAGAGUGGCUCAAAGAGCCAACUGCCAGAUUUGUCUCUUUUGUCUUGGGCUACGUUGGGACUCUCGCGUUGGUGUUCCCGUAAUUUAACUUAAAUUGAACUCCUUUGGCCGGUCUGCAGCACCCAGAGCUGGACGCUCGCCUGGUUCGCUCGAAAUAAGGCGGUGUUCCGAAAUCUGCAACUGUCAGACGGACAGUGUUAUAAGUAUGGAGGUUUACAUUUUUUUAGAUUGUUUUAAGUCAAACAACUUACUUAUUUCCAGUGGGAUAUCAAAUAAUCAAUACGACUUCCAUCUAUUUUAACACUCGAGCUUAUGUUAUACGAUAGAGACGACCAUCACCUGCGUCGUAUAUUGCGUAUUGAUUGUUUGAGAUCCCCACUGGAUAUAUUAUGCAAGUUCAACUUAAACAAUCUAAUAAACAUAAGUCUUCGUAUUUUGACCCUGUCGGUUAAGACAAUUUCUGAGUUCUGGGAUGCCGCAUCUCGGCCACGAAAGCAAACCAGGUGAGAGUCCGGCACUGAGUGCCGAAGACCUGUUAAAGGAGUUCAGUUCAAGUCAUAUUUCGGGAACUCCCACGCAAGAAACAACACAAAACAGGCAAAUCUGUCAGCUGGCUCUUUUAAGCCACUCCAGACAGUCGUGAAAUAAAGCAAAUAACACCUAGACGAGCGUUAUAUAAUUAAUUGUUAAUAGGAAAUGUACCAGAACAUUUUGUAAUGUGUGAUCUUUGAUUAAAGAAAUAAAUUCCAAUUAAUAUAA